rnacentral:rRNA from 1 species
CCUACGGGUGGCAGCAGUGGGGAAUAUUGCGCAAUGGGCGAAAGCCUGACGCAGCGACGCCGCGUGAGGGAUGAAGGUCUUCGGAUCGUAAACCUCUGUCAGCAGGGAAGAACGGUCACUGUGCUAAUCAGCAGUGAAUUGACGGUACCUGCAAAGGAAGCACCGGCUAACUCCGUGCCAGCAGCCGCGGUAAUACGGAGGGUGCGAGCGUUAAUCGGAAUUACUGGGAGUAAAGCGCUCGUAGGCGGUAUGUCAAGUCAAGGGUGAAAUGCCCGAGCUCAACGUGGGAACUGCCUUUGAAACUGGCAAACUGGAGUGUGUGAGAGGAUAGUGGAAUUGAAGGUGUAGGAGUGAAAUCCGUAGAUAUCUGAAGGAACAUCAGUGGCGAAGGCGACUAUCUGGCACAUAACUGACGCUGAGGAGCGAAAGCGUGGGUAGCAAACAGGAUUAGAUACCCCGGUAGUC